GCAACAUCUUCAGGUUGCAGGCUGCUGAUGGUGAGAGUGAACUCUGUCCCAUACCCACUGCUACUGAACCUGGAUGGAACCCCAGAGGCUAAAAUAGUUGC